AUUGAACGCUGGCGGCAUGCCUUACACAUGCAAGUCGAACGGUAACGCGGGGCAACCUGGCGACGAGUGGCGAACGGGUGAGUAAAGCAUCGGAACGUGCCCAGUAGUGGGGGAUAGCCCGGCGAAAGCCGGAUUAAUACCGCAUACGACCUAAGGGUGAAAGGGGGGGGAUCGCAAGACCUCUCGCUAUUGGAGCGGCCGAUGUCAGAUUAGGUAGUUGGUGGGGUAAAGGCCUACCAAGCCGACGAUCUGUAGCUGGUCUGAGAGGACGACCAGGCACACUGGGACUGAGACACGGCCCAGACUCCUACGGGAGGCAGCAGUGGGGAAUUUUGGACAAUGGGCGCAAGCCUGAUCCAGCCAUGCCGCGUGCGGGAAGAAGGCCUUCGGGUUGUAAACCGCUUUUGUCAGGGAAGAAAUCCUUUGGGUUAAUACCUCGGGGGGAUGACGGUACCUGAGGAAUAAGCACCGGCUAACUACGUGCCAGCAGCCGCAGUAACAC
rnacentral:rRNA from 1 species